rnacentral:rRNA from 1 species
CAGUCGCCGCGGGAAUACGAAGGGGGCUAGCGUUGUUCGGAUUUACUGGGCGUAAAGCGCACGUAGGCGGAUCGAUCAGUCAGGGGUGAAAUCCCAGAGCUCAACUCUGGAACUGCCUUUGAUACUGUCGAUCUGGAGUAUGGAAGAGGUGAGUGGAAUUCCGAGUGUAGAGGUGAAAUUCGUAGAUAUUCGGAGGAACGCCAGUGGCGAAGGCGGCUCACUGGUCCAUUACUGACGCUGAGGUGCGAAAGCGUGGGGAGCAAACAGGAUUAGAUACCCCCGUAGUCCCUGUCUCUUAUAC